rnacentral:rRNA from 1 species
AAACCAACAGGGAUUGCCUCAGUAGCGGCGAGUGAAGCGGCAAAAGCUCAAAUUUGAAAUCUGGUAGUUCUGCUACCCGAGUUGUAAUUUGUAGAAGACUGUCUUUGUAAGGGUGCCUGUCUAAGUUCCUUGGAACAGGACGUCGCAGAGGGUGAGAAUCCCGUGUGAUGGGUGGCCCGAACUUUUAAGACGUUUUCGAAGAGUCGAGUUGUUUGGGAAUGCAGCUCUAAGUGGGUGGUAAAUUCCAUAUAAAGCUAAAUAUUGGCGAGAGACCGAUAGCGAACAAGUACAGUGAUGGAAAGAUGAAAAGAACUUUGAAAAGAGAGUGAAACAGUACGUGAAAUUGUUGAAAGGGAAGGGUAUUUGAUCCGACAUGGGAUUUACUCAUCAUUGCUCCUUGUGGGUGGUGCUCUGGGUUUUUUCUGGGCCAGAAUCAGUUUGUGUGGCAGGAUAAAGGCUUGGGGAAGUAACUCUUCUGGAGUAAUAUAACCCUUGUUAAUGCUGCCUAUGCGGCUGAGGAAUGCGGUAUUACCAAGAUCGCA